GACGAACGCUGGCGGCGUGCCUAAUACAUGCAAGUAGAACGCACAGUUUAUACCGUAGCUUGCUACACCAUAAACUGUGAGUUGCGAACGGGUGAGUAACGCGUAGGUAACCUGCCUGGUAGCGGGGGAUAACUAUUGGAAACGAUAGCUAAUACCGCAUAAUAUUGAUUAUUGCAUGAUAAUUGAUUGAAAGAUGCUAUUGCAUCACUACCAGAUGGACCUGCGUUGUAUUAGCUAGUAGGUGAGGUAACGGCUCACCUAGGCGACGAUACAUAGCCGACCUGGGAGGGUGGUCGGCCACACUGGGACUGGGACCCGGCCCAGACUCCUACGGGAGGCAGCAGUAGGGAAUCUUCGGAAAGGGGCGGAAGGCUGACCGAGGAAAGCCGCGGGAGGGAAGAAGGUUUUCGGAUCGUAAAGCUCUGUUGUAAGAGAAGAACGGGUGUGAGAGUGGAAAGUUCACACUGUGACGGUAGCUUACCAGAAAGGGACGGCUAACUACGUG
rnacentral:rRNA from 1 species